rnacentral:rRNA from 1 species
CCUACGGGUGGCAGCAGUGAGGAAUAUUGGUCAAUGGACGAGAGUCUGAACCAGCCAAGUAGCGUGAAGGAUGACUGCCCUAUGGGUUGUAAACUUCUUUUAUAUGGGAAUAAAAUGUUCCACGUGUGGGAUUUUGUAUGUACCAUAUGAAUAAGGAUCGGCUAACUCCGUGCCAGCAGCCGCGGUAAUACGGAGGAUCCGAGCGUUAUCCGGAUUUAUUGGGUUUAAAGGGAGCGUAGGUGGAUUGUUAAGUCAGUUGUGAAAGUUUGCGGCUCAACCGUAAAAUUGCAGUUGAAACUGGCAGUCUUGAGUAGAGUAGAGGUGGGCGGAAUUCGUGGUGUAGCGGUGAAAUGCUUAGAUAUCACGAAGAACUCCGAUUGUGAAGGCAGUUCACUGGACUGCAACUGACACUGAGGCUCGAAAGUGUGGGUAUCAAACAGGAUUAGAUACCCGGGUAGUC